rnacentral:rRNA from 1 species
AACUCUGAGCGGUGGAUCACUCGCUCCGUGACGUUCGAUUAAGAGCGCAGCCAACUGCGUGAGAUAUGUGAAUUGCAGGAUUCUUGAACAAUCGACAUCUUGAACGCGCCAUAUGCCGGCCUGCAGGUCUCCCUGUGGCCACGCCUGGCGAGGGUUCG